rnacentral:rRNA from 1 species
UACGUAGGGUGCGAGCGUUGUCCGGAAUUAUUGGGCGUAAAGGGCUCGUAGGCGGUCUGUUGCGUCGGGAGUGAAAACUCAGGGCUUAACCCUGAGCCUGCUACCGAUACGGGCAGACUAGAGGUAUGCAGGGGAGAACGGAAUUCCUGGUGUAGCGGUGAAAUGCGCAGAUAUCAGGAGGAACACCGGUGGCGAAGGCGGUUCUCUGGGCAUUACCUGACGCUGAGGAGCGAAAGUGUGGGGAGCGAACAGG